AAACGCAAUUGCUAAUAAUGCAAGUGGGGUCACGGCAAAGGUGUGGCGCGUGCGUGGACCUCGCCCUCAUCUCGUCUCCUCCGGCGGUCCGGCCUGUCCAAUAAUUCUAGUAUUCCACCGCCGCACACCUCCUGUCUUCCUUCACCUUCGCGCUCCGCCGCCGCCGUCGAUUCGUGCUGCUCUCACCCCUAACCUGUCCAACAUCGCCGGGGAGGGAAGCAGCAGAAGAAGCUCCCCUUACCUCCGGCUAUCGCCUGAGGAUAAAGUGGGGUCUGUAGGGGAGUCUUAGGGGGGAGCAAAAGGGAUAGGAUAGGGAGAGAUGAAGCAAUCAAUUUCUUCGUCCGCCUUCGCCCCUGCUUACGUCCCCGCUACUAACCCUAGUUAUGAGGUUGAACGCCUUCAGAAGCUUCUCUACUAGAUUAGUGUAAAUAGUAGACUUGUUCGAGUUUAGCUUGGCUGGAAGAAUUAGUCUCUGGUCCGUGUUUAUAUCUGCUAGCAAUAAUGGCUGCGAUGAACGGAGAGGUAUUGGGUGAAUGUGGAAGGAACAUAAAUAGUCUCAAGAGAAAGCGGGAGAGCCCCGCUGCAUAUGCUGCUGGCGUAUUCUGCACCUCUGAAUUGCAUCAGCAUACUGUCAAUGAUUCUGCUGUUAGGUUUCAUCUUGAUAAAGACCGUAAGGCAAAGAUCGUGUGCCACUUCAACAAGCAGGUUUUGCAGAGCUAUAAGAAAUUCAUGAGUAGUGCACCACCUAAGCGUAUUUUGCUUCGCCAAGGUGCUGUCUGGAAAGACUUUCCAGAAAAGAUUGUCAAAUUGGCCCAAGCUGACUUCAGGGCAAAAAAGAUGAUCACAGAAACAGGAUAUCAGAACCAGCUAUUUUUGCUGGAUUUUGCCCAUAUGACAUUCAUAGACACAAAGACAGGUUUUCAGAGGCCAAUUGCUUGGAUCGAUGAAAAUGAAAAGUGCUACUUCCCGGAAUCAUUUAUACAAGAUCAGAAGUUAUUUAUGAAGAAAGAUUUUGGCAACGGAAAUCAUGAGUACAUUAGUGAAGAGCGAAAUGGGACACGAGAAACGAAUCACCAGUUUGGAGCAUCAGAAAGUUCUGCUGAAAGCUCAAACUUUGAGUCAAGUAUUGGAGAUGUUUCUAGUCCUAAGAGAGCUAGGGCUGAAAAGAAUUUCAUUGUAAAAAAAUAUUGUGAUAUGGGAGAAGCUAUUGGAGAAAAUGAGUCAUGCACUUUGUUGCCUACAGCCUGUAACCUACUACCACACCAAGCUAAUCUGGGUGAGGUAUCCCGUGCUCAGCGCACUAUUGAAGCCGUGGAGAAGCUGUUGCUGCAGGGGAUGGGUUCAGUUAUUGAAUCCAAGGACAUUAUUGGAAUCUACAGGACUCCAUUAUUGGAUGACCACGGACAAGUCCGUUACCAUAUUCACCAAAAGCAAGUACAGGUUACCGGAUGUCAUCGUGGAAACGCAAAUGUCCGUUAUGCAUGGCUUCCUUGCUCCAAAAGCACUGUGCAUGUAAUGAUGCUGAAUGGUGUUUUGCAAGUUGAUAAGCCUCCCAAUAAGUGUGCAGCCUAUGGAGAGGGCACUCUCCUUACACCAGCAAAUCGUUCGGAUGCCUGUGUGAAAUACUCUGAUGUUGAUGAAAAUGGCAUUGUCCGUAUGAUGUUGUGCCGUGUAAUAAUGGGGAACGUAGAAAUAGUUCACCCUGGAUCUAAGCAGUGCCAACCUAGUAAUAAGUAUUUUGAUAGUGGAGUAGACGACCUUAAAAAUCCACGGCAUUACGUUGUGUGGGAUAUGAAUCUGAAUAGUCAUAUCUAUUCUGAGUUUGUAGUCACUGUCAAAUUGCCUUCUAAAACCAAAGAUUCCUUUGUAUCGCAAGAAAACUGUCAGAAUUCGUCUGAUCUAUCACUGGUGUUGAACUCUAGUUCACCUGAUUGUAUUUCACAGAAGAGUUCCACUGUUGGAGCAGCAAGAGUGCAGUAAUUCAGAUUCUGUGAUUUGACUCAAUAAUUGACAUGAUUGCAUUAUUGAGAUUAUAACUUGGAGCUGAUUAUAUUCGUUAUCUAUGAUAGAAACCUCCAAAUAUGAUAAGUUUCCCUGUGAAACCAUGCUAUUUUAGCCACGCUGGAGUUGGUUAAAGCACCAGUUAACAACUUCCUUUUAUGCAUAAAACAGGAGAUGAACCUGGAGGCACCUCCAGCAUUGGGAGGUGGAUGUGCAGCCCCCAUGCUAGGAGAUUCGAUGGAAAAGGCUCCAAGCUCACCUUGGAUGCCUUUCUCCAUGCUGUUUGCAGCGAUCUCUACCAAAGUGUCUCCUGAGAAUAUGGACGUGAUUAUUGGUUGCUAUGAAGAGUUUAAGAGCAAGAAAAUAAGCCGAGGUGAACUAGUGAAGAAGCUGAGGCAUGUAGUUGGUGAUAGAGUGCUAAUAUCGACGAUAAUGCGUCUCCAAGAUAAGCAGUUACCUCCAGUGGAUAAGCGUGAGGAACCAGACACAUCGGCGUCCAAGGUGGUGGCGGAACCAUGAGAUGGGUGUCAGGAGGUGGGCGAGGAAUGCAGAAAGGGAGGAACCAGCCGACUUGACAUAGAAAACCCUGUGGGAAGCAGCAACUAUGAAGCCUCUUGCAUCAGUCUUGUGCAUGGAGGCUGCUGUUUGUUCUCUGUAUCGUAGGUGUCUACGUUUGCGAGGAAAUUGUAUCCGGUGUUUCUCUUUCUUCAAAUUAAACCACGCACAUGCAGCUGCCGUACUUUUUGGACCAUUGAAGUGUUUCGUCCGUGAAAAAGGCUCCUUUUACCUUCCCGUUUGCCUUCCUAAGAGCAUCUCCAGUAGUUUUGUAAAAUAAAACUCCCUAAAAGACGAUGUAGAGAGUUGCUAAAUAAUAAUAGAGAGUAAAAAAUUGCAUGUUC